UUAUCUAAAUGUUAGUCAGUGUUAGAAGCACAUUGCAUCUCUGACUUGGUCCAUUUAACUAAAGCUUCUGCAACCUUUAACCCUCUAUUAUCAGCUCUGACUGUUAUUGACAGGCUAAUUCCCCUGCUGCCGCAGUGCAGGAGAUAGACAGAGAGCAUUAGCCUUGAGAAAUCUGUGACCUUUAGCUGCCAGAUUAUAGAAGCGUAAGACUCGGAGUUAGAAAAGACCUAUUAUGUCAUUUUGCCUAUCUCCCUGUGCAUACAGGGCUGUCCCUUUCUGUAGAGAUGAUCAAAGCUUGGUUCAACCUCACUUUGGGUAUCCAUGGUGAAACGGCUCCCUGCACAGCGUUUGCAAGCUGUUUCCCCUGUGGAUUGCAGCCCAUCAUAUAGCUUCUAUUUAUUCUCAGCCUUUUAUUUUCCCCUUGUUAUCUCAAAUGUUAUCCUGGAAACUCUAGUGCCAGGUCUAGCCCUCCAGGGCACAAACAACCCAUGGUGUUUGUGCUCUGGGGAAUAUUCACUCUGGUUCUGAGAAUUUCCAAUCUGCUUGGAUCCCUUGAUGUGAAGGGAUAGGGAUUGGGAAUGUGCCCAGAGAGCCCUGGGAGGAUGAUGAUGGGUAUUUGGGGAUAUGGUUGGUCUGCUCCAGCAGCUGCAGACCUAGCUCACCCACUUUUCUCCCUGCGUGGUUUUUCCCUAACAUCCCUCUAUCAGCAACUUAAUCCUGGUACAAGUUCCCUGUUCCCCAUUCCUGCAUGCAUCGUUCCUCCUUUCCUUCAGCAAGAGGUCAGGGAGGCCAAACCAGACAGAUGAGAGAAGUCUCUGGUGUCUGAGUUGCCCUUGCUCUUUUACCCAGGGAGAGUGGGGCUGCUAUAUCAUAUGCCAUGCACAAACUUGCCUUAGCUUCAUUUCUGCUCAGAUAAAACUUGCUGGUGCUUUUCAGGAAGGAGUGGUCAUGGACAUUAUGCAUAUAGGGGCAAAACUUUUUCUAGAAGAGAGUUCCCUUUUUCCCCUCAGUAGCUGCCUCUUUUCCACAGUCAAGUGCUGAGUACAUCAGUAAAGAUCUGAUUUAUAUGCAUGUCAUCUUAUUUUUGUAUUCCAUUCUGGGCUCUGAAGGUCAAGCCGUGCUGAUGUGGGUUCUGGCAUACCAAAAGAGUGAGCAAUUCUUUCAUUAAGAUUUGUUAAUAAUUCAGCUGAUAUCUGAGUCAGGAAAGAAGCCUGUUCCCUCUUCUGUAGGUGCUACAAAACCUACAGAAGUGGAACACAUUAUUACCAAUAAAGAAUGCAGAUGAGGGGCUUUUUAGAGGAAAUAAUGUCAUCUUCACAUAGGCAACCAUCCCCUGGUAUGAAAACCAUUGCAAAGAUGCUUCAGGUGGACUGCUUUUAUAGUCAAAGCGUGGGGUGAAGACUUAAGAGAGGAAAAUGUUGUAGCUUUGUCAUGAUCUUUGGGCAUGUUGCUUAGACUAGCACAAGCGCUAGCUGAAGUCAGGUGGGAUUUAGGCAUGUAAAUAACUUUGAAACUUUUGAAAAAUGUCUUUUUGUUGCUCUGAGCAUGUUUGCCCCACAUGGUGCAGACUGACUGGAGAUAUCUGAAUGGGAUCUGAGACAGCCUGUCCUGCAAAAGCCAUAUCUGGGGUUAAUGGAUCCAGCCUCAAGAAGGCUCAUUAGCUCAGGAUGAACUGAUACAUGGCCAUACCCAUACUCCUCCUUGUUCCAAACACAGAUCAUCUGGACAAAUUUUUAGGAGCUACCUGGAUCUGUAUUGCAUCAUACACAAAAAGCCCCUGGUCUCUGUGGAUCUGGACGAGUGACAUUAAGAAUGCAGGGACGGAUGCCACCAUCUUCUUUCAGAUUUAUGGAGACAAGGGGAAGUCAGAUGAGAUGAAGCUGGACAACAAUUCAGACAACUUUGAAACUGGACAGACUGACAAAUUCAUGAUUGAGCUCCCUGAUCUGGGCACGUUUUAUAAGCUUCGCAUAUGGCAUGAGAAAAGAAAUCCCUUUGCUGGCUGGCAUCUGAACAAGAGUACGGAUCUGACAAGCACAGUUGGCUAUGACAGCAUCAUUCAACAUCUGAAUGAUGGCAGGAAGAACUGCAAAGAGUUUGAAGACUUUCUGAAGGAAAGGGCAAUAAUAGAAGAAAAAUAUGGCAAAGAGCUCAUUAAUUUGUCAAAGAAGAAGCCCUGCGGGCAAACGGAGCUGAACACGCUGAAGAGAUCCCUGGAUGUCUUUAAGCAACAGAUAGACAAUGUGGGACAAGGUCACAUCCAGCUGGCGCAAACCCUUCGGGAGGAAGCAAAGAAAAUGGAGGAAUUCAGGGAAAAGCAAAAACUGCAUCGGAAAAAGAUAGAGCUGAUAAUGGAGGCGAUUCACAAAAACAGGAAUCUGCAGUACAAGAAGACCAUGGAGGCCAAGCGGCUCUAUGAGCAGCGCUGCAGGGAUAAGGAUGAGGCGGAACAAGCUGUGCACCGCAACGCAAAUGUGGUUACACAGAAGCAGCAGGAGAAGCUGUUCCUCAAGCUGGCUCAGGCAAAAUCAUCUCUGGAGGACUCUGACAGGAGUUACCAGCAGAGUGUUACCACACUGGAGAAGAUCCGGGAAGAAUGGCAAAAAGAGCACGUCAAAGCUUGUGAGUUCUUUGAGACUCAGGAGUGUGAGCGGAUCAACUAUUUCCGCAAUGCCCUCUGGCUUCAUGUCAACCAGCUGUCCCAGGACUGCGUCCAGAAUGAUGAAAAAUAUGAGGAAAUCCGCCAGAGUUUAGAGCUGUGCAGCAUUGAGAAGGACAUUGAUUUUUUCGUAAAUUUACGCAAAACUGGAAGUUUGGCACCAGCUCCUGUUGUUUAUGAAAACUACUACAAUACACAGAGAAAUCCAACCCCUGUAAGAAGUCCGGUUCCUGUGCCUGUAUCAAGGAGGGCACCUCUACCCACCCCGACCAGCGCGCCAGGUGAGUUCCUGGCUUUAUGGGGUUUCUGGCUCCACAGAAGAACUCUGCUUUUGCUCCUCCCCAUCACAUCAUGAGCUUGAGCUCUCUCAAGGGAAUGGUUUAGGUGAAGCUCCUGCUCCAAGUGCAGUCCCCACUGAAAGAUGCUGGAAAGUGACACUCUGACUUUGGAGGCAAGGUUUCACUCAGGAGGAGUUCUCAUCAAAGCCCUGCAUGUGAGCCUGAUUAUGCCACAGUUGACGGCUACAGCUUGAUACAUCACUAAUAGCCACAGUUCUCCAGGCAGAAGACACUGUUGGUUUGGCCAGCAUGGUGGUGUUUCCACAUACUCCCAGCCACACAGAGCUGAAGUGCUUCUCUGUUUCAGCAAAGUAUUUGAGGACUCAGAUAAUUAUUUGUACAUUCAGAAAGUGCCUAUUAAAAAUCCGUGCCUUUGAUCAGCAAACUCCUUGGACAGAUAGCCCAUCUUCACGCUCGGGGGAAGAAAAGGAAUAUAAGCGAUGGACCCAGACACAGGGGCGAUCUGUGUCAGAAGAAGUUUUGGUUUGAAGUUCUUCUAAAGUGCAGCCAUCUGGAAGAGGCUGGAGAUAACCAAGAAGUCAUACGUGCUGAGGGGAGUGCUGCACGAUGCUUUGGGAAUGCUGGCUUAUGUUUAGGGCAUAUGUGUCCCGCUCAAAUCUCAGGUUAAGCUUUUCCCUGUUUCUAAAGUCCUUCAUUAAUCGUGAUUAAGCUUGUAAUUUAGGUUUCAUUCUGGCCAUGUCUCUCAGGGAGCUCACUUUGAGGAGCACCGACAAUACACUGUGUGUCCGGCUUAGCUGUAGAUGUGCUCCAGGCUUAAGUGCUGAUACUGGAAGCUGAUUUGCAUGUUGCCUGGUGCAGCAGUCCACAGCGCAGCUACCCAGUGAGAGGCUGUGCUGUGACAAAGCUGCACCCUGCAGUGUUGCUGAGGAUCUGGAGAAGUUGGUCAGCUCUUCCACCACCUCUCCAAUGAGAGCCUUGCAGAUUUUUAGGUUCAUGGUAUAGCUUGUGCCUGGUAGGCUCUGCAGACCCUAGUUUGAUUGACUUUUGGUAAAGAAGUCCCUUGGAUUUGGUGUGACUACACACCACUGGAAAUGAACUUAUAUGGUCAUGUUGGGCUGGAGCCCUGAAACUCAUUUUCUGACCAUAUCUCCUCAAAGUUCAUGCUUUUUUUGUUACCAUAUACAUGAUCAUGGCUUUGAUUCAGAAGCUCAUGGGCCACAGGGCUGCUGGUCUCUCUGAUAUCCUCAUGUGCAGCACUGCUUAACAGCUCCUUAGUGCCUUAUCACACAGGGAUGCAGGAUAAGGGGAAGAGCACACAGUUCAGCUGCCUAAACCUGGUGCCAGGUGACUAACUUUGGAGCACAGGGAGUUGCUGCUUGUAUGAUGUUCUUCAAGUUGAAGCUGCAUGACUUCAGUGCAUGUCUGAGCCAAACAGUCCCUGGAGCUUUUACUGUAUUUCCUUCUGUAUAGAAGAUGACAGUGAGCUUAAGCAUCUGUCCUGCUUGCAUUACAAUGGACUGUGCAAAGUGCACAUGCCAAGGAAUCAGUUGUCCAUUUUCAUUUCUGAAAGACCAAGUGUACAAAUAUUCUUCUAAAGGACCCUGCUGUAGUCUUAGUUCUUUAAAUACAUAUUUUAAAAUUAAGUUUUGA